UACGGAGGAUGCAAGUGUUAUCCGGAAUUAUUGGGCGUAAAGCGUCUGUAGGUUGCCUAACAAGUCUGUUGUUAAAGGUUAAAGCUUAACUUUAAAACUGCAGCAGAAACUGCUAGGCUUGAGUACAGUCGAAGUAGAGGGAAUUUCCAGUGAAGCGGUGAAAUGCGUAGAUAUUAGAAAGAACACCGGUGGCGAAAGCGCUCUACUGGACCAUUACUGACACUCAGAGGCGAAAGCUAGGGUAGCAAAAGGGAUUAGAUACCCCUGUAGUCCUAGCCGUAAACGAUGGAUACUAGAUGUUGCGUAUUUACAGUAUCGUAGCUAACGCGUUAAGUAUCCCGCCUGGGGAGUACGCUCGCAAGGGUG
rnacentral:rRNA from 1 species